UUCUUUCUUUGCUGCGUUAGGCAGGCGACUGCAGGGGCUGUUGAGAGCCUCCGACUCCAUUAAUAACUUGUGCAGUGGGGACCUAUUAUGCAAGUCCUGAAACCUGAGAGCCAGUCACCUGUUCUGCUACCUGAGCCCGAGCCCUGGGGACGGAGGAGGAGAGAAGGACAGCCUCGCUCGAGCUGCCUGCCUGGAGGACUCUACUCGAAUGAAGGAGGCCUUAAGAGGCCUUGUCAGCUGAGAGGAGCUCCCACUGGAGCUUGAGAAAAGACCACAGCUACCUGAUGACUGCACUCAUCCGUUAUACUCCUGACUGAGCUCAGGACAGCUCGCGUGGCUGAAGUUUGCUGGAAGAAGCGGUUUUAUCUGUUCCAACAAGAGGGGAAAAAGUUAAUGCCUUAGUCUUGACACUCUGCUUUGCAGAUGAAAAAGUGAAAGACAGCCGGUCAAUGUCAGUGGGUUUCCACAGCUGGAGAUUCCCAAGCCUUUCGACAUCAAUGAGCCCUCAAGUAAAGACAUCACCGCUUCACUGCACAGGAAUGUCCUGUCAUGGGGUGUGUGGUGGGGGCAAGAGGCGAAGGAGAGUGUGUCUCUUAGAGCAAUAACACAGUCCGCCUACUCUCAGACUGCAGAUAGUGGAUCCUUCAGUGGAGUUUCCAACUUGUUCAAGACUGCAACUGUCCCAGGGAAAGAGUGCACAGGCAGCAUUUUCUUCCUUAACCAUCACAGGCCGGAAGGUCCAACCAUCACCUUCUGUCUUGCAGGAGUUUUUGUGUCCAUCUACUCCAACACGGCCUGUGAAUGUAUCAACUCUUCCAGAACUACCAGAAACCUUUGGAAAAAGAACUGUAUCCAUACCCACCAUGAGAGUCUCCAACUCCCAACCGGACCUGAGCCGACAGAAUCCUACUGUCUUGAAGCCAAAUGAGUUCAGACAGGCCUACUCACCAGCUGAUGGAUUGGCAGUGAGAGAUCCAGGAAAGAGGAAAGCACAUCUUGUACAAUGCAGAGUGAGCUGCACAGACGAGGGCAGAAAGCAGGAAGUGAAAGGUGGCUCAGUAAUGAACCUGUUUUCCUCACAGCCUUCUUACCGAUCUUGUAUCCAUCAUGAGGUGCCUCUGAGGUGCUCCAGCUCCGUUGUGUUUUUGGACAAGUCACUUUGUAUUUCUCUUGACGAACUGGAGGGAAGAAGAGCAGGUCAGCCCACUUUAUAUAGGUCUGCUUUGUCCGUUCGCCUUAGUGCCUCAUCCUGCCGGAGAUCCUCCACAGAUAA